CUAUUUGUUACUUGGGCCUUGCUAUUUGGGCUAUGUACUUUGGUGAAUAAAAAAUCUCCUAUUUCUAUGUUUUAUUAUUAUGUAUGUGGGCUCUCUAUUUGUUAGCCUUUGGAUCAUGGUUCUUUUGAUCUAAAGGCCCAUAUUGAUAGCUUCUCUGAAGAGCUAAAGUGAAAUAUUAGAAUAUUAGAGAGAAAAGAAGAGUGAGAAGUAGAGAGUGAGAAAAAAAGUGGGAGAAAAGAGAGGAAAUCCUAGAGGUUGGUUUUGAUCUUGGUUUUAUCAGGAAGGACGAGAAAUCUUUAUUAGUGAGAUGUGGUUUAUACUAUUUGGAUAGAGCUAGAGAUUGUUAGAGCUCUUUUUAUACCUUAGAGUUAAGGUGAUAUUUCUCUCAUUUGAAUCUAUCUUGUAAUCUUCAAGUUUGUAGUGAAAGCUUCUUUUGUAUUAUUCUCCCAUAAAUGUAGGCAUAGCUGAACCACGUAAAUCCUUGUAUUCUCAUGAUUUUGUUUAUUUUCUUAUUGCUCUUGUGAUUGGCUCUCCAUUAGAUGCUUGUAGAAAGUGGGUUGUGAAAUUGCCCACCAAGUGUUUGUGAAAUUACCAUCAAUAUUUUUCACCCUCAUUUUACACUAAUUGGUAUCAAAGCUUGAUUGCUAGCUA
rnacentral:lncRNA from 1 species